GAUGAACGCUGGCGGCGUGCCUAAUACAUGCAAGUCGAGCGAACAGACGAGGAGCUUGCUCCUCUGACGUUAGCGGCGGACGGGUGAGUAACACGUGGAUAACCUGCCUAUAAGACUGGGAUAACUUCGGGAAACCGGAGCUAAUACCGGAUAAUAUAUUGAACCGCAUGGUUCAAUAGUGAAAGACGGUUUUGCUGUCACUUAUAGAUGGAUCCGCGCCGCAUUAGCUAGUUGGUAAGGUAACGGCUUACCAAGGCAACGAUGCGUAGCCGACCUGAGAGGGUGAUCGGCCACACUGGAACUGAGACACGGUCCAGACUCCUACGGGAGGCAGCAGUAGGGAAUUUUCCGCAAUGGGCGAAAGCCUGACGGAGCAACGCCGCGUGAGUGAUGAAGGUCUUCGGAUCGUAAAACUCUGUUAUUAGGGAAGAACAAAUGUGUAAGUAACUAUGCACGUCUUGACGGUACCUAAUCAGAAAGCCACGGCUAACUACGUG
rnacentral:rRNA from 1 species